UACGGAGGGUGCAAGCGUUAUCCGGAUUCACUGGGUUUAAAGGGUGCGUAGGCGGAUAGGUAAGUCCGUGGUGAAAUCCUGCAGCUUAACUGCAGAACUGCCGUGGAUACUAUCUAUCUUGAAUAUCGUGGAGGUUAGCGGAAUAUGUCAUGUAGCGGUGAAAUGCUUAGAUAUGACAUAGAACACCCAUUGCGAAGGCAGCUAACUGCGCGAUAAUUGACGCUGAUGCACGAAAGCGUGGGGAUCAAACAGG
rnacentral:rRNA from 1 species